rnacentral:rRNA from 1 species
UGGGGAAUUUUGGACAGUGGGCGAAAGCCUGAUCCAGCAAUGCCGCGUGUGUGAAGAAGGCCUUCGGGUUGUAAAGCACUUUUGUCCGGAAAGAAAUGGCUCUGGUUAAUACCUGGGGUCGAUGACGGUACCGGAAGAAUAAGGACCGGCUAACUACGUGCCAGCAGCCGCGGUAAUACGUAGGGUCCAAGCGUUAAUCGGAAUUACUGGGCGUAAAGCGUGCGCAGGCGGUUGUGCAAGACCGAUGUGAAAUCCCCGAGCUUAACUUGGGAAUUGCAUUGGUGACUGCACGGCUAGAGUGUGUCAGAGGGGGGUAGAAUUCCACGUGUAGCAGUGAAAUGCGUAGAGAUGUGGAGGAAUACCGAUGGCGAAGGCAGCCCCCUGGGAUAACACUGACGCUCAUGCACGAAAGCGUGGGGAGCAAACAGGAUUAGAUACCCUGGUAGUCCACGCCCCUAAACGAUGUCAACUAGUUGUUGGGGGAUUCAUUUCCUUAGUAACGUAGCUAACGCGUGAAGUUGACCGCCUGGGGAGUACGGUCGCAAG